CAUCACUUUGCUUUCUCCGCCGCCCGCCUGCUCUACUGCACGCCGCCGCUUCCUCUGCAGCACGCCGCAUCCUCUCCCGGCACGAUGUCGCCCGGCGCCCCCUCCUCCUCCCCCCCCCCAACCCACACCACCACCACGGCCUCGACCCUUCUCGUCCUAUCCUCACGACGGCCUCGCCCCGCCGGCCCUCGUGCCCACGACGGCCUCACCCCGCCGGCUCCUGCCACCAUCGCGGCCUUGCCUUGCCGCCAACUCCGUCAAUCUUCCCUAGGUCGACUCUGCUGCCGCCAUCCUACUGCCCCAGAGCAGAUCGAGAUGUGAGCUGCUAGACAAGAUGGGGGAGGAGGCAUCUCGAAUUGGACGGAGAUCCAGUGCGUUGACGUGCCCGCCGUAAUCAUCGCCCCCCGUGCUUGGCUCACACAGUCGCUCUGGGAAGGAGUUCGCAGCUCACGUACGUGCUCGGUUGCUGAAGGCGGCUUCGCCACAUUGUCAUUCAUUUGUGAGAUGUUUCUCUUUCUCUAUGUUGGCAUGGAUGAUAUAUAGAGUACUGGAAGAUUGUUAGUGAAACACAUUCAGCCCAAUGAAGUGUAUCGCCUUUGAGCUCCAUUAUUUAGGCCAGAUCUCAUGAGAGAUGCUGUGUCAAUUGCAUUGGCAUCCAAUAAGGAUUGAAGUGGUGGUCGUAACACAGUCAGUUGGGAGGACCCAAUGGCAGAGUCGAUAUUUUCCUUGUUAGAAACAGCAGUAUAUGGUGUUCCUAAUGAAUUCAGACCAGGAAGUGGAGUCCGAUCACUCAUUAUGACAUCAACAGGUAUGCCUGCAUCAUAAUUGUAUGAACAAUGUCAGUUGUUGACACACAAAUGCCGGUAUUAUGGUUGGAUGUAGGAGAACACAUGACCUUCCGCAGCUGGUGUGUGUCGUUGCUGGGUGAGAGCAGACUGCACAGUGGGCCUCUCCACCGUGUCAAAACCUGCCCAAAAGAACACUUAAUUGAUAUGAUUUAAUUGAGAUUCAUCAAUGUAUGAUAAAAAAUAGAGAAAAUGGAGUAACCAGGCGACAUGGCCCCGGGUGGCUUAGAUGGAGUGUUGAUUUCAUUUAGAAUAGCAAAUGGCGCACUUGGCCUCUCCACAGUGUCAAAACCUGGCCAGAAGAACACUUAACUAACCUGAUUUUACUUGUGAUUCAUGAAAUGUAUGGUAAAAAACGGAGAAAAUGGAGUAACCAGGCGACAUGGCCCCAGGUAGCUUAGAUGGAGUGUUGAUUUCGUUUAGAAUAGCAGCCGCAGCUUUCUUACGAUCCCUUGCCUCUUGUCUUUUCUUUAAUAUUGCAUCCCUGUUUAGUGCAUACCUCUCCCUUUCCCUCUGUCUCUUCAGCUCUUUUGGAUCUGCUUUUUGACCUGCGAGACAAUGACAUAUUCUUCUGGAUUUACAAACCUAAGUAGGUCUCGAGAUGUCGUGGGGCCACACAGGGUGAUGACACUGGAGGUAGGGCAGCGCGCCAGGUUGAGGACGUCCACCGGGUCGAGGACGUCGUGGACAGGGCGAGGGCGGCGUGGCGAGGAGAGGUACGGCAGCAAGGCGGGUGGAGGACGUCGCGGACACCAGGAGCCAGGAGAGGUAAGGCAGCAAGGCGGGUCGAGGAUGUCGCGGACACCAGAGCUGCGGCGGGGCGGCUGGCGGAGGCGAGGUUUGUGGCGUGAUGCCGGCGUUGAUCGUGGAGGUUCCUGGCGUGGUGGCGGCUUUGAUCGCGGAGUCCACAUUAAUUCCCUUGAGGUGUCAUCGUUGGGGGCUGUGUAGCAUCCUGAACGAGGAGUCUGUCGGCAGAACAUUUGUUUUCAGCCGUAGAUCUGACUGUAGUAUAAUGGAUGUAACGUGGACCGUUGGAUGCAACUUAAUGGAUCUGAUGGGACGUGCGGGGUUAUCCUGUGUGCACUUUUUGGGGUGCACGUAGGGGAAGUCAUGUUAUCAUUUAAUAGUAGUAUAGAUGUAGCUUUGCGA